UACGUAGGGUGCGAGCGUUAAUCGGAAUUACUGGGCGUAAAGCGUGCGCAGGCGGUUUUGUAAGCCAGAUGUGAAAUCCCCGGGCUUAACCUGGGAAUGGCAUUUGGGACUGCAAGGCUGGAGUGUGGCAGAGGAGACUGGAAUUCCUGGUGUAGCAGUGAAAUUCGUAGAUAUCGGGAGGAACACCGGUGGCGAAGGCGGCGACCUGGGUCGAGACUGACGCUGAGGCGCGAAAGCGUGGGGAGCAAACAGG
rnacentral:rRNA from 1 species